UGAAGAGGGUGGGCAUAGAGUAGAUGGAAAGUUGUGUUGAUGAGGGUGGGCAUAGGAGUAGGUCCAGAGUUCUUAAAUAGAGAGUGACACUAGAGGAUUUCCCAUCCCAGACAGUAGAAUUGAUGACUGCCUCAUCAUUCCAUGUCCGUUUCACCUGAAAAUAUUAAAAACCUGAGCAGAAUUGGAGGGUCCCUUGCCAGGUAAGAGCCUGUGAGGAAUGAUGGGUUAUUC